ACUCCUACGGGAGGCAGCAGUAGGGAAUCUUGCGCAAUGGGCGAAAGCCUGACGCAGCGACGCCGCGUGCGGGAUGACGGCCCUAGUGGUUGUAAACCGCUUUCAGCAGGGACGAAAAUGACGGUACCUGCAGAAGAAGUCCCGGCUAACNACUGNGCCAGCAGCCGCGGUAAUACGUAGGGGACAAGCGUUGUCCGGAUUCAUUGGGCGUAAAGAGCUCGUAGGCGGUUCAGUAAGUUGGGUGUGAAAGCUCCGGGCUCAACCCGGAGAGGCCACUCAAUACUGCUGUGACUAGAGUCCAGUAGAGGAGCGUGGAACUCCUGGUGUAGCGG
rnacentral:rRNA from 1 species